rnacentral:rRNA from 1 species
CCUACGGGAGGCAGCAGUGAGGAAUAUUGGUCAAUGGACGAGAGUCUGAACCAGCCAAGUAGCGUGAAGGACGACUGCCCUAUGAGUUGUAAACUUCUUUUAUAUGGGAAUAAAAUGUUCCACGUGUGGGCUUUUGUAUGUACCAUAUGAAUAAGGAUCGGCUAACUCCGUGCCAGCAGCCGCGGUAAUACGGAGGAUCCGAGCGUUAUCCGGAUUUAUUGGGUUUAAAGGGAGCGUAGGUGGAUUGUUAAGUCAGUUGUGAAAGUUUGCGGCUCAACCGUAAAAUUGCAGUUGAAACUGGCAGUCUUGAGUACAGUAGAGGUGGGCGGAAUUCGUGGUGUAGCGGUGAAAUGCUUAGAUAUCACGAAGAACUCCGAUUGCGAAGGCAGCUCACUGGACUGCAACUGACACUGAGGCUCGAAAGUGUGGGUAUCAAACAGGAUUAGAUACCCGGGUAGUC